rnacentral:rRNA from 1 species
UACGUAGGGAGCUAGCGUUGUCCGGAAUCAUUGGGCGUAAAGCGCGCGUAGGCGGCCAGAUAAGUCCGCUGUGAAAUCUCGAGGCUCAACUUCGAGCUGUCGGUGGAAACUGUCUGGCUAGAGUCCGGAAGAGGAGAAUGGAAUUCCUGGUGUAGCGGUGAAAUGCGCAGAUAUCAGGAAGAACACCCGUGGCGAAGGCGGUUCUCUGGGACGGUACUGACGCUGAGACGCGAAAGCGUGGGGAGCGAACAGG